AGCCCUGAACUCACUGGAACCCAGCUUUGGGGAGCAGCUCACAGCUGCAAAGAGCUCCCAGCAGCAGCAGCAGAAGCAGAACCAGAGGCUGCAAGGGCCAUUUUCUUCAUAGAUCUAUUGAAAAUUUUUCAUAGAUCUACUGAAAAAUUGGCAAGUGAUUUCAAAAAGGAAAUUCUCAUAAUGAUGGGGUGAAAAGGAGAACAAACCCCGAGCAAUAUUGCAGCAAAAUUAAUUUCUCAAACACACAAACCCAGGGAGUUUCUGGUGGGCGUGAUUGCAAGUGUGGAGAAAACUGCUCAGGUUGUGUAGGAACAGCAAAAAAAUCUCAGUUCCUGCCGAGGCACAGCCCUGCUCUCUCUCUGGCAGCAGAGCUGGGCUGAGGGAGCUCUUGGGCUGUGCUGUCUCAGAGUGCAGGCAGAACAGAUUUGUGCUGCCUUGGUUUGGCUUCUGGGGGCCAGGAAGCAGCAGCAAAUCCAAGCCAGCAGAAGUUGGGGUUUCGGGUGCCCCUCUCUCCCAGGCACUGCUGUCACACCCAGCAGCUCUGGAGAGCAUCUUUCUCUUUGCUGCCCUCAGGGAAGGAAAUGUGGCAUUGCCCAGAGAGGUGUGGCGUUCAUUGGAGGAAUCUGGCCCUCCAAAGAGGUGUUUGGACUUCGGGCUGAGGUUGUUUGGCCUCUGACAGCAGGGAGCAAAGGCGGGGUUCUUUUCCAGCCAUAGGGGAAAAUGCAAGAACAAGGAAGGGAGUUAGUGAAACACCCGUAAAUGCCCAUGAAGCACACCGUGGGGACAGGGAAGAGGGAAGGAGGGCAGCCCGGGCCCGGGGUGUGAGGUUUGGCUGAGUUUCUCCUCAGUGGCCCAGAGCUCUGGCUCUGGGCUGGGAGCAGUCUGGCACUGCAUCCACUGAGGUGCCUGUUCUUGCUGUUCAGGGCUAAAAGAAACAGGAAAGAUAAAGUUGCCAUAGUUACACCACUUGUCACGAUGCUUAUCGUGUCCCCGGGAUAAAGAGCCCUGCAUUAAAUCUGGGCUCUUAUUAAUAUCAGCUGUUAAACAUUUCCAGGGUAUUUGAAAUCAAGACUUUCUGCUAAAAAAUUAAAUGUUGAUUGCAGCAAAAUUGGGCUGUUUACCAGCGCAGCUCAGAGUGUCAUUUUGUCAGACACCGUGUAACAGAGCUGUACACCAGGAAUACAUUUUCCAGUGAAUUGAGUCUCUCUGCACCUCAUGAACAUUCUUGAUUUUCCUGUUAAGAUGUUUGUUCCUUGCAACUCUUUGCCAAGGAGCUGGAGCAGGCCAGCUGGCAGGAAGGGAGAGGAGUUCCUGGGGUCCACAGCAUUCACACAGCAGCAGUAGAAAUGGAGUUGGAAUUAGCAGGUUUUCUGUACCGCUGGCUCCAAUUAAGGAAUAUGAGUUGGGUUUGUUUCUUCCCUGCCAUAAUCUCAUAAACAUUUGGAAACACAUUUCCUAAGAUCCUGUGCACCUUUCCAGCUCCACGUGACCUGGUGCAGGCCCUGCUGCAAAAAAGAAGUACGUGAGCUACAACAACCUGGUGAUCUAGGCCCAGCUGCCAUGGGGCACGGGCCACGAGCCCACCCGCCUCGCUGAGCUCCCCGCACGGGGUCCGGGGCACCGGGCACGGGGGAGGCGAGAGGAGCCCCGGCUCCAGGCCGCUCCCGGGAUCUCCUCCAUCGCUGCUGGCUCCGCACGGCACUGGCCUGGCCUCAGGGCUCAGGGCCGCCAUGGCCUUGGGGCCUCUCCAGCCCUGGGGCUGCCAUGGCCUUGGAGCCGCCGUGGCCUUGGAGCCGCCGUGGCCUUGGGGCCACCGUGGCCUUGGGGCCUUUCCAGCCUUGCGGCCGCCAUAACCUUGGAGCCACCGUGGCCUUGGGGCCUCUCCAGCCUUGGGACUACCAUGGCCUUGGGACUGCCGUGGCCUCAGGGCCGCCAUGGCCUUGGGGCCUCUCCAGCCUUGGGACUACCAUGGCCUUGGGGCUGCCAUGGCCUUGGGGCCUCUCCAGCCUUGGGACUACCAUGGCCUUGGGGCUGCCAUGGCCUUGGGGCCUCUCCAGCCUUGGGACUGCCAUGGCCUCAGGGCCGCCAUGGCCGCGCCUCAGGAGCGGCUCCCUGGGCCGGCUGCACUCGGCUGCUCUGGACUCUAAGGGGCUAAUUCUGUCUUUCUAUGUACUUCCAGACUGCAAGUUUUUGAACUCUCUGUACAGUUUGUGAGGAUUUUUUGCAUAUUGCCAUCCAUGUUGUUCCGAGGUCACUGUUUGUUUUUUGGAUGCACAGUUUCAUUGAGGCCCUGUGCUCUCGGCACCUCUCAAACCAACCGACAACUGAGGAUCUGAGGCCUGUGUACAUGACUUGUAUUAUUAUUCUUGUAUCACUGCAAUCCAUAUACCUUAUUUUUUUUAACUAAACAAACAAACAAACAAAAAAAAGAAUUUAAAGACCAAAAACUGUGCUGGCGAAGUUUGUCCCCCCCUUCACACCUCCGAUGGGCUGCAGAGGAAGCAGGAAGGAUUUUUGCUGAGUUUUAGUAGAGGUCUUGAUCUUUGGAAUGCAUGCCAGUAAUGUAUUUUAUGGUACAUGUUAAUAAUUUAUGUUUGAUAUUUGUAUUUGUGUUCUACUUUGUUCUUUUCUUUAAGGUAUAUGACUAUUUUGCAAUAAUUUCAAUGAUUCUUAGGAUAUUUGAAGGAAAGAAUAUGGCUUUUACAUGUCUUGAGGUUUUUCUUUGUUGAUGCCCCACCAUGAUUGACCAGUGUGAUAAGGACUUACAGAAGCAUGUAUGUUUUCUACUGUUUGUAAUAAGUAAUUUCGUUAAUCUUGCUGCUUAUGUGCCAAUUUAGUGAAACCAAUCUUUGCCGCAACCUCCUCCCUCCCUUUCCAUUCUCUCGAUCCUGUGAUAUUAUCCAAGAAUGUAUCAAUAAAGGAUUUUGGUUAACUUUUUUUUAUUUACUCCAAUAAAUAUAUUUUUUCAGUUGUUCCCUCCCCCU